ACUUAAAUAGCUUAAAAUUUAGAGCAUAAUAUUGAAGAUAUUAGGGUAAUAAUUAAUUAUUUUUAAGUA
rnacentral:tRNA from 1 species